rnacentral:rRNA from 1 species
UACGUAGGGUCCGAGCGUUGUCCGGAAUUACUGGGCGUAAAGAGCUCGUAGGUGGUUUGUCGCGUUGUUCGUGAAAACUCACAGCUCAACUGUGGGCGUGCGGGCGAUACGGGCAGACUUGAGUACUGCAGGGGAGACUGGAAUUCCUGGUGUAGCGGUGGAAUGCGUAGAUAUCAGGAGGAACACCGGUGGCGAAGGCGGGUCUCUGGGCAGUAACUGACGCUGAGGAGCGAAAGCGUGGGGAGCGAACAGG